AGGCUUAAUAAAUUCAUCUACAUAGAGGUUAAUUCCAUGUACAUAUUCUAUGGCAUAGUGUAAAUCUGUAAGGUCCAGGUUUACAGUGACCGUCAGCUUGUAUCCCUGUUGCAGAUAGAACAUUUCCAUGCAAGAGUAAGUUGUCUUCAGUUCUGACUUAUGCAUGUAGCUUGUUGAAUAUGUGAUUGUUAAAUAUUUAUUGUUGUAUGCUUUUUUUUAUUGAUUGCUGAACAUGAUGUGCCAUAGUUCACUGAUAAUUUGAAGGUAUUAAUUCAGAUAUGAAUCUACCUUAACCAAAGAAUAAAAGAGGACAUUGAAAUAAAGCAUUGUUUUUAAACAAGUUAAGAAAUUAUAAUUAAAAUGAUUUAAUAAGAUUCAAAGUUGCAAUUUGGCUUAGUAACUAAUUUGUUGAUCUAUUAAUGACAGGGUUAAUAUUUUGUACCCUGCCUCUGGUGUUUUACAAUGUGUCCCUGGCAAACAUAUUUAGCUCUCAACAGCUCCCUGCACUCAGCUGUAAAUAGUAAACCAUGAAGUGGAACAAUUUACUACUUUGAACAGUGAUAGCCAUGUUAAAUGUAUUUUGGUAGCUUCUCAUGCUAAGCUUAAGUUUUUUGGUUGGUAAAACUUCUAAUAGAUUGGCAUCCUAUCCUUAGAUAGUUGAAGGUUUAUACCCUCAAAAGUGGGAUAAGCUCUGACAUACAAGUAAUACAUUGGAAAAAAAAAAACAAAAACAAAAAACUUUGAAAUAUUUUCCACACAAGAAGUAAACUUUAAAAGAAAGAAAAAAAACAACAUAACAAAAUCUUAGAGGUAGAAGGUUCCAAGAUUUAUUUAUUCAUUUGGUUAAUUCACCAGAUAACAAAUAUUAUAAGCACUAAAACACAUGGUUUAUAUCACCAUAAUGAUUAUAUAUCAAAAGAAAUUAAGCGAGAUAAAAUUAAUUGCUUCAAAAAAGUUAUCGUCAUAUGUAGAAAUAUAUAGUUAUACAUACAAAAUAACAUUAAUUUUUUUUAAAAUUAAUAUUCUGUUGCUUGAUUAUCAUGGUGGUUAUUAUUAUUAUUAUUAUUAUCAUUAUUAUUAUUAUUAUUACUUGGAAUGUUAUUGUUAGUGUUACUUUUAUUUUCUUGAUUGAAAAAUUUUCUAUAGAAACUAGUAACAUAUACAAACUCAAAUUAUUUUCUCUUUUUCAUUCUUACAAAGCCAAAUACAAUGCUUACAAAAAUAGUUAACAAACAUUAUUUUUCUCUUUCUGCCAUUGGUGUCAAUGAUUAGAAAUAAUUAGGAUUUUCUAACAUUGGCACAAGGCCACAUGGUUUCAUAGAAGAGUAUAAUCGAAUAAAAACCAACCCAACAUGUUACUGGUACUUAUUUUAUCAACACUGGAGGGAUGAAACGAGGCAAGGUUGAUGCAAAAGGAUUCAAACGCAAAACAUAAAGAGAUGUAACUAAAUAUCAUCAUCAUCAUCAUCAUCGUUUAGCGUCCGCUUUCCAUGCUGGCAUGGGUUGGAUGGUGUUACUGGGGUCUGGGAAGCCAGAAGGCUGCACCAGGCCCAGUCUGAUCUGGCAAUUUUUCUACAGCUGGAUGCCCUUCCUAACGCCAACCACUCCAUGAGUGUAGUGGGUGCUUUUUACGUGCCAGACGAGGCUGGCAAACGGCCACGAUCGGAUGGUGCUUUUUAUGUGCCACCGGCACAGAAGCCAGUCGGGGCAGUGCUGGCAAAGGCCACGUUUGGAUGGUUCUCUUAUGUGCCACCGCACACAAGGAAUUUAGAUUAACAACAACAACAAUAAUAGUAAAGUUAAUGAUGAGUAUGAGGAUAAUUUUAAAUAUUGGCGCAAAUAUGUGUAGAAGAGCAUAGACAACUGAAUCAACUUCCAGUACCAAUUUCAUCAACUUUAGAAGGACUGAACUCAGAUAAAAGCUGAAAGGAGUUUUGUCUGGCGCUCUCUUGAUUCAGCCAUUCCUCUACAAUGAUUUCUCUUGAAAUAAGAAUUAGUCCCAAUAUUGGCACAAUGCCGCAAAUUUUGUGAGGAGUGAACAGCUAAAUAAAUCAUCUUCAGCACCUGACUAGCACUUACUUUACUAACCCUUCAUGGAUAAAAAGUAAAGUUGAUCCUGGAAAAAUUUGAACUUACAAUGUAAAAAGACAUUUUCCAUCUUAUUACAAUUGUCGCUGGUAAUAAUGAUGCAAUAUUACCACUAUUGCUGCUCAUAAUUGCGUGUGUGUAUAUAUAUAUAUAUAUAUAUGAUUUGAUUUUGAUUUUUCCAGUUUCAGCUAAUGAGCUGUGGCCAUGCUGGGGCACCGGCACACAUAUAUAUACACACACACACACACAUAUAUAUAUAUAUAUAUAUAUAUAUAUAUUUAUAUAUAUAGCUUCUACAGGACUAGUACUGUUUCAUUCAAGAGAAAUCUUCAGUAUUGAGUACCUUACUUACUGUGGUUAACCCCGAAUCAACCCGGGACCUACAUAUAUAUAUAUAUAUAUAUAUAUAUAUAUAUAUAUAUAUAUAUAUAUAUAUAUAUAUAUAUACACAUAUAUAUAUAUAUAUAUAUAUAUAUAUAUAUACACACACAUAUAUAUAUAUAUAUACACACACACAUAUAUAUAUAUAUACACACACAUAUAUAUAUAUAUAUAUGUAUGUAUAUACACACACACACACACACACACACAUAUAUAUAUAUAUAUAUAUAUAUAUAUAUAACUCCAAGAAAGUUAGGGGUUGUGAAUCCAACUCACUAAGGGAUAAUAUCUAGCCAAUAUACUGUUGGUAGAACACCCAAUUAUUAAUCCACAAGUGAUUUUUAUUGCAUUGCAAUAACAUUACCUAGUGUAUUAAAUGGGUGAAGGUAAAGAGAUAUUUUACCAUUAAUUUAUAUCACAAAUGAGAAAAUGGAGGAGAACAAUAGGUGGUUCAUCAACUUUUGGACAUUAAAAUGUUAACUUAUUUAUUUAUUAAACUGAUAAUUAUAAUAACAUACAUAUAGCAUAUUAUUCUUUGCAUAUAAGAUAUAAGAUAUAAAAUAUAAUAAUAUAUAAGGAUACCAGUAAUUAUUAUAAAACAUAUGAAUAUAAAUUAGUAAAAUAACUUACAGCUGUUUCAGUGAAUAGAUAAAAGUACCUCAUUCUGCCAAUAUUACUUAAGUGGAUUGAGGUAAUAGGCAGAUGAAUAUGAGGUAUUUGUAUAUAUCUCUAGGCUUCAUCAGAGAUUGUCCAAAAGUUGAUGAACCACCUAUUGUUCUCCUCCAUUUUCUUAUUUGCCAUAUGUAUAUAUGUAUGUAUGUAUGUAUGUAUAUAAGUGUGUAUAUAUAUACACACACACACAUAUAUAUACACACACACACACACACAUAUAUAUAUAUAUACAAUACAUAUACAUAUAUAUAUAUAUACAUAUAUAUAUGUAUACAUAUAUAUAUAUAUAUAUACACACAUAUAUAUAUACAUAUAUAUAUAUAUAUACACAUGUGUAUAUAUAUGUAUAUAGUAUAUACACAUGUGUAUAUAUCUUUCAUCAUCAUCAUCGUUUAACGUUUGCUUUCCAUGCUAGUAUGGGCUGGAUGAUUUGACUGAGGUCUGGCGAACCAGAUGGCUGCACCAGACUCCAAUCUGAUCUGGCAGAGUUUCUAUAGUUGGAUGCCCUUCCUAAUGCCAACCACUCCGAGAGUGUAUAGGGUACUUUUACGUGCCACCGGCAUGAGGGCCAGUCAGGUGGUACUGGAAAUGGCCACGCUCAAAUGGUUUGUUUUAUGUGCCACCUGCACAGGAGCCAGUCCAGUGGCACUGGCAACGACCUCACUAGAAUGUUUUGCCAUGUGCCACCAGCACAAGUGCCAGUAAGGCGACACAGGUAACAAUCACACUCGAAUGGUGUUUUUUAUGUGUCAUCGGCAUGGAGGCCAGCUUCUUGCUAUGGCAACGAUCACACUCGUAUGGUACUCUUAGCACUCCUCUAGCACGGAUGCCAGUCAUAUUCAUAUAUAUAUAUAUAUAUAUAUAUAUAUAUAUAUAUACACAAUAUAUAAUAUAUUCUUUUUAUUCUUUUAUUUGUUUCAGUCAUUUGACUGUGGCCAUGCUGGAGUACUGCCUUUUGUCAAACAAGUCAACCCCAGGAUUUUUCUUUGUAAGCCUAGUAAUUAUUCUAACAGUCUCUUUUGCCAAAUGUUUUUAUGUACUUUGAUACUUUUCAGCUAGUAUUAGCCCAGGCCAUGUCUAACUUAAUAGCACCACCCGGCAAAGUCAUUCAAAUCAGGAAUCGAACAACAUGGCCCACUCGAGGAGAGAGUUAUUGUUUGCGGAGACAUAUCCGGGUGUAUGAGGUUUAUCCUGGAUUUUUUAAAGGAAUUUGUCCAAAGACUUCUUGAACUUUAUGGGGUCUGUUUCUGUUUUAAUGUGUUUUGGUGUAAUGUUAAAAAGUGUGGGGCCAAUUGAGGUGAAAAAAUUGUGCCACAUUGUUGUUAUAAGAUACGAGUAUGAUUUAUGUUGUGGGCGGAUAGCACAGGGUCCAAGUCCUGGGUGUAUCUUAACAGUAAUGCCAACAUCAUUUGGGCACUGCUGAUGGAAUAUUUUCCACAUCAUGCAGAUGAUGUAGCACUCACGGCGGCGUUGUAGGGAAUAAAGCUUGAGCUUUUCUAGUUGACUCCAAUAGUCAAGGCCUGUCAUGCCAUCUAUCUUUUCUGUAAUUGACCAUUGAGGUACUACAAUUUUUAUGAAACUUUGUUUUGUGUGGGGAGAUCAUAGUAUAAAACAGUAUACAAGGUGGGGUUGGGCAAAAGCAGAGAAGAAAAGCAGAGAAUUGUGCCAAAUUUUGGCAUUGAAAGCUACACCAAUGCCAGACUGGGAUGACACUGCAUAGUGCCAAAGAUCCCAGCAACGCCAUCAUGCUUCAGGACCAGUUACUGCAACAGCCUGGGUUUCAGGGUCCCACAGCUUUUUAAUAUUCCCCCAAAGAGCCUGAGAAACCUGCACAAAGUAGAUGUUGGCAUUUUAAAAUC
rnacentral:lncRNA from 1 species